UACGUAGGCAGCGAGCGUUGUUCGGAGUUACUGGGCGUAAAGGGUGUGUAGGCGGUUGUUUAAGUUUGGUGUGAAAUCUGCCGGCUCAACUGGGAGGGUGCGCCGAAUACUGAAUGACUUGGAGUGCGGGAGAGGAGAGUGGAAUUCCUGGUGUAGCGGUGAAAUGCGUAGAUAUCAGGAGGAACACCGGUGGUGUAGACGGCUCUCUGGACCGUAACUGACGCUGAGACACGAAAGCGUGGGUAGCAAACAGG
rnacentral:rRNA from 1 species